rnacentral:rRNA from 1 species
ACGCUCGACACCUACGGAAGGCAGCAGUGGGGAAUAUUGCACAAUGGGGGAAACCCUGAUGCAGCGACGCCGCGUGGAGGAAGAAGGUCUUCGGAUUGUAAACUCCUGUUGUUGGGGAAAAAGAGGAUGGUACCCAACAAGGAAGUGACGGCUAACUACGUGCUAGCAGCCGCGGUAAUCUGAGCGGGCUGGCAAGGC